CCGAAAGGCAGGAGUGCCUGCAAGGGAGCGCGGAGACAGGUGGUGCAUGGCUGUCGUCAGCUCGUGUCGUGAGAUGUUGGGUUAAGUCCCGCAACGAGCGCAACCCUCACCUCUUGUUGCCAUCAGGUCAUGCUGGGCACUCUAGAGGAACUGCCCCGGUCAACGGGGAGGAAGGCGAGGAUGACGUCAAGUCAUCAUGCCCCUUACGUCCUGGACUACACACGUGCUACAAUGGCCGGUACAAAGGGAUGCCACACCGCGAGGUAGAGCUAAACCCAAAAAGCCGGUCUAAGCUCGGAUUGGAGUCUGCAACUCGACUCCAUGAAGGAGGAAUCGCUAGUAAUCGCGUAUCAGCACGACGCGGUGAAUACGUUCCCGGGCCUUGUACACACCGCCCGUCACACCACGAAAGCCAG
rnacentral:rRNA from 1 species